CCAAUAGCGUAUAUUAAAGUUGUUGCAGUUAAAAAGCUCGUAGUUGAAUUUCGGGAUCAAUACGACGGUCGUGCUUUCUUGGUACGUACUGGCGUCAUUGGUUUCUCCCUUCUGACGAACCAUGAUGUCAUUAAUUUGGUGUUAUGGGGAGUUAGGACUGUUACUUUGAAAAAAUUAGAGUGUUUAAAGCAGGCAUUAGCUUGAAUACAUUAGCAUGGAAUAAUGAUAUAGGACGUUCGAUUCUAUUUUGUUGGUUUCUAGGAUCAACGUAAUGAUUAAUAGGGAUAGUUGGGGGCAUUAGUAUUCAAUUGUCAGAGGUGAAAUUCUUGGAUUUAUUGAAGACUAACUACUGCGAAAGCAUUUGCCAAGGAUGUUUUCAUUAAUCAAGAACGAAAGUUAGGGGAUCGAAGACGAUCAGAUACCGUCGUAGUCUUAACCAUAAACUAUGCCGACUAGGGAUCGGAUGAUGUUAAUUUUUUAAUGACUCAUUCGGCGCCUUACG
rnacentral:rRNA from 1 species